GGAAGCAUGCCCGAAUGAACAAGGACUACUUUGAUAGAGUACACAAUAGAGGUUAAAAUCCCCUUACUUCCU
rnacentral:tRNA from 1 species